rnacentral:ncRNA from 1 species
CACAGGCUUGGUCCUAGCCUUUCUAUUAGUUAUUAGUAAAAUUACACAUGCAAGAAUCUUCGCCCCAGUGAAAAUGCCCUCUACAUCAUUUGAUGAUAUAAAGGAGCUGGCAUCAAGCACACUACAAUUGUAGCUCAAAACGCCUUGCUCAGCCACACCCCCACGGGAGACAGCAGUGAUAAAAAUUAGGCAAUAGACGAAAGUCUGACUAAGUUAUGCUAUCUAAGGACUGGUCAAUCUCGUGCCAGCCACCGCGGUCAUACGAUUAGGCCAAACUAAUAGACAUUCGGCGUAAAGAGUGUUUUAGAACCACGAUAAGAUGAAUAAAGUAAAAACUUAGCUGGGCUGUAAAAAGCUUUAGUUACCCCUAAGCACAUUGACGAAAGUAACUUUAUAGAGUCUGACCACACGAUAGCUAGGACCCAAACUGGGAUUAGAUACCCCACUAUGCCUAGCCUUAAACAUAAAAAAUUAUAAACAAAAUUAUUCGCCAGAGUACUACUAGCCAAAGCUAGAAACUCAAAGGACUUGGCGGUGCCUUAUACCCAUCUAGAGGAGCCUGUUCUGUAAUCGAUAAACCCCGAUCGACCUCACCAAUCUUUGCCAAAUCAGCCUAUAUACCGCCAUCUUCAGCAAACCCUAAAAAGGAAUUAAAGUAAGCACAAAUAUUAACAUAAAAACGUUAGGUCAAGGUGUAGCUAAUAGAUUGGGAAGAAAUGGGCUACACUCCCUGACCCAGGGGAUAUUAUUAACGAAAACUAGUGUGAAAACCACGAGUUAAAGGUGGAUUUAGUAGUAAAUUAAGAAUAGAGCGCUUAAUUGAAUAAGGCCAUGAGGCGCGCACACACCGCCCGUCACCCUCCUCAAGUAUACUAAAAUGGACUAUAUAAACAAAUAGAAUCACCAAAUUACAAGAGGAGACAAGUCGUAACAAGGUAAGUGUACUGGAAAGUGCACUUGGAUAACA